rnacentral:rRNA from 1 species
AGCGGCGGACGGGUGAGUAAUGCCUAGGAAAUUGCCCUGAUGUGGGGGAUAACCAUUGGAAACGAUGGCUAAUACCGCAUGAUGCCUACGGGCCAAAGAGGGGGACCUUCGGGCCUCUCGCGUCAGGAUAUGCCUAGGUGGGAUUAGCUAGUUGGUGAGGUAAGGGCUCACCAAGGCGACGAUCCCUAGCUGGUCUGAGAGGAUGAUCAGCCACACUGGAACUGAGACACGGUCCAGACUCCUACGGGAGGCAGCAGUGGGGAAUAUUGCACAAUGGGCGCAAGCCUGAUGCAGCCAUGCCGCGUGUGUGAAGAAGGCCUUCGGGUUGUAAAGCACUUUCAGUCGUGAGGAAGGUAGUGUAGUUAAUAGCUGCAUUAUUUGACGUUAGCGACAGAAGAAGCACCGGCUAACUCCGUGCCAGCAGCCGCGGUAAUACGGAGGGUGCGAGCGUUAAUCGGAAUUACUGGGCGUAAAGCGCAUGCAGGUGGUUUGUUAAGUCAGAUGUGAAAGCCCGGGGCUCAACCUCGGAAUUGCAUUUGAAACUGGCAGACUAGAGUACUGUAGAGGGGGGUAGAAUUUCAGGUGUAGCGGUGAAAUGCGUAGAGAUCUGAAGGAAUACCGGUGGCGAAGGCGGCCCCCUGGACAGAUACUGACACUCAGAUGCGAAAGCGUGGGGAGCAAACAGGAUUAGAUACCCUGGUAGUCCACGCCGUAAACGAUGUCUACUUGGAGGUUGUGGCCUUGAGCCGUGGCUUUCGGAGCUAACGCGUUAAGUAGACCGCCUGGGGAGUACGGUCGCAAGAUUAAAACUCAAAUGAAUUGACGGGGGCCCGCACAAGCGGUGGAGCAUGUGGUUUAAUUCGAUGCAACGCGAAGAACCUUACCUACUCUUGACAUCCAGAGAACUUUCCAGAGAUGGAUUGGUGCCUUCGGGAACUCUGAGACAGGUGCUGCAUGGCUGUCGUCAGCUCGUGUUGUGAAAUGUUGGGUUAAGUCCCGCAACGAGCGCAACCCUUAUCCUUGUUUGCCAGCGAGUAAUGUCGGGAACUCCAGGGAGACUGCCGGUGAUAAACCGGAGGAAGGUGGGGACGACGUCAAGUCAUCAUGGCCCUUACGAGUAGGGCUACACACGUGCUACAAUGGCGCAUACAGAGGGCGGCCAACUUGCGAAAGUGAGCGAAUCCCAAAAAGUGCGUCGUAGUCCGGAUUGGAGUCUGCAACUCGACUCCA